rnacentral:rRNA from 1 species
AGUGAACGCUGGCGGUAGGCCUAACACAUGCAAGUCGAACGGCAGCACAGUAAGAGCUUGCGCUUACGGGUGGCGAGUGGCGGACGGGUGAGGAAUACAUCGGAAUCUACUUUUUCGUGGGUGAUAACGUAGGGAAACUUACGCUAAUACCGCAUACGACCUACGGGUGAAAGCAGGGGAUCUUCAGACCUUGCGCGAUUGAAUGAGCCGAUGUUGGAUUAGCUAGUUGGCAGGGUAAAGGCCUAGCAAGGCGACGUUCCGUACCUGGUCUGAGAGGAUGAUCCGCCACACUUGCGGUGAGACACGGCCCAGACUCCUACGCGAUGGAGCAGUGGGGAAUACUGGACUAUGGGCGAAAUCCUGAACCAGCUAGGCCGCGUGAGUGAUGAUGGCCUUAGGGUUGUAAAGCUCUUUUACCCGCGAUGAUAAUGACGGUACCGGGAGAAUAAGCACCGGCUAACUCCGUG